GAUGAACGCUGGCGGCGUGCCUAAUACAUGCAAGUCGAGCGAACAGACGAGGAGCUUGCUACUCUGACGUUAACGGCGGACGGGUGAGUAACACGUGGAUAACCUACCUAUAAGACUGGGCUAACUUCGGGAAACCGGAGCUAAUACCGGAUAAUAUAUUGAACCGCAUGGUUCAAUAAUUAAAGACGGUUUUGCUGUCACUUAUAGAUGGAUCCGCGCCGCAUUAGCUAGUUGGUAAGGUAACGGCUUACCAAGGCAACGAUGCGUAGCCGACCUGAGAGGGUGAUCGGCCACACUGGAACUGAGACACGGUCCAGACUCCUACGGGAGGCAGCAGUAGGGAAUCUUCCGCAAUGGGCGAAAGCCUGACGGAGCAACGCCGCGUGAGUGAUGAAGGUCUUCGGAUCGUAAAACUCUGUUAUUAGGGAAGAACAAAUGUGUAAGUAACUAUGCACGUCUUGACGGUACCUAAUCAGAAAGCCCCGGCUAACUACGUG
rnacentral:rRNA from 1 species